rnacentral:rRNA from 1 species
UACGGGAGGAGCAAGCGUUGUUCGGAUUUACUGGGCGUAAAGGGCGGGUAGGCGGCCACUGCAAGUCGGUUGUGAAAUCUCCGGGCUUAACUCGGAAAGGUCAAUCGAUACUGCAGGGCUAGAGUGCAGAAGGGGCAACUGGAAUUCUCGGUGUAGCGGUGAAAUGCGUAGAUAUCGAGAGGAACACCUGCGGCGAAGGCGGGUUGCUGGGCUGACACUGACGCUGAACUGCGAAAGCUAGGGGAGCGAACGGG